rnacentral:misc_RNA from 1 species
CGAUUUAAUUAAAAAAUACGUUAUAAAUUAUUUAAAAACCGUUGGUAAAGUGUUAUAAAAAGGCCUAACUUUCAGGUUAUAUAUUUGUCUGUGUACAAAAGGGUGAUUUUGAAUGUUUGAUUUAAUCAGAAAAACACCAACAAAUUAUAUUUCUUGACAUAACCGAAAAUGAACUUUAAUAAUUAAAAACUAAUACAAUAUUCAUAGAAGAAAUCAAACCGAAUGUAAAAAGAACGAAAAGCGAAUUGAAAUAAAUAGUAAAUGGUGUUUUACAAAUUAAUGUCUGUAAGCUAAUGUGUUGUGAAAGUGAGUGGUAAUUGCGGAAAAGACGUGAAUUGCGUAUGUACAGGGGAAAAUAAAAUAUAUAUAUAAAAGUGACAAGCAGGCUCAAAUGC